AUGGAUGUCUCAGUUUUUCACAGUCUAAAAGAUGCGUGGAAGGAGACUGUGACUCAAUGGAGAAUCACAAAUAGUGGUGAGCAGCUGAAAAAAGAAAAUUUCUGUCCAUUACUAGAGCAAGUCCUAGAUGGAGUUAUAUAUCCCGAAAUACUGAAAAAUGGCUUUGAAAAGUGUGGGCUUGUACCGUGGAACAUUAAAGCUGAUGACUUCACCAAAAUAGUUGGAAGCGCUGAACCAGAAAUCAAGACAGACCCUUUCGCCAUGCGGAAUCUAAAAAUUGCAAUCGGGCUAAUUGAAUCUGAAAUUGGUGAGACUACAGUAAAAAAAUUCCAAGAAAAUCAGGAACAAGCAACUGAAAAUUUAUCUUUACCACCAGAAGAUACACGUUUAUUUCAGGUAAUGGCUAAGUUUCACAAAAAAGUGAAGGAACUGAUCACAGCUGAGAAAAAUUCGAAAGACAAGCUGGUAGAAGAUAGGUUGGAAAAAAAGAAGAGAUCAAAAUUAAAAGCAGAGGCGAAGGCAAUGUCAAAAGCUAACAAAACAGCCAGUUCAAUCAAUACAUCAAAUAUUUCCGCCUUUUACAUUGAAUCAUUGCCAGUGGAAAUGGAUUUAAAUGAUUUCCCUACUGAAAUAAACCCUUUCAUCUCGCCUACUAUAACUCCAACACUUUCUACUUCUGUGAACAUUGAAUCUGAGGAUUUGUCACUUCUGGACAAUUUAGUCAAUGGAAACUUAGCAGAAGAUUUAUUGAAUAUUCUCACCGUACCACAGAGCGUCCGUGAUGUUGAAGUGGUAAUUAAUGAGCCACACAAUGAUUUGUCAAGACCUAGCACAAGUGAUGGUGCUGGAGAAUCGUCAAAGAAGAAUACUAAUGCUGGAGAAUUGUCAGAGAAGAAUACUGGUGCUGGAGAAUCGUCAGAGAAAAAUACUGGUGCUGGAGAAUCAUCAGAGAAAAAUACAACAGCAGAUGCCAGGGAAAUUAAUGCUCCGAAAGAAAUUGACAACUCCAAUAAUUUAGAAAAAAAUUCAAUUGUCGAUAAGUCAAACAACUUUAAUGAUAAAAACAUUCCGACUCCAUUUAAAAAAGCAUUCAUUUGGCCUGAGCCAUCGACAAAGAAAAAUGGAAAGCAAAAAAGGAGUCAUGAAGUGAUGCCGUCUGGAAUCACCUCAUCACCAUGGAAAAAAUACUGGGAGAAUAAGAGGCAGAAGAAAGAAACUGAAGAAAAAGCGAAAGAAGAAAGAAAGGCAGCAAGAGAACAGAAAAAGAAGGAAAAAGAAACAAUGCAAAGAGAGAAAGCCGAGAAAUCUAAAAAGCAACCAAAGAAAAACCAAAAUUCUCGUAGACGACUUUUCAUCGAAUCUAGUUCUAGUGCUGAGGAAUCUGAUCCUGAUUGUCCUCCCACGCCAGAGCCUCCUCCAUCACCAGAAGUUUUACAGCUGAAUAGUUUAAAGAAAGACGACUUUGUGAUAUUCACUUACGAGGAGGAAUACUGGCCUGGCAUCAUAUUAGAGGUGACAGAAACUGGGGCCAAAAUAAGUUCAAUGGCACCAGCAGGACCGGGUGGUUGGCGGUGGCCGGAUAAGAAAGAUAUUGAUGAGUAUAAUCUGGAGGAAAUCAAAGAAGUCAUAAAUCCGCCAACCAUCCGGAACAGCAGAGGAGUUUGGUGCGUGUCCGAGUUAGCCAAGUAUCGUAAGUGGUAG
rnacentral:lncRNA from 1 species